GACGAACGCUGGCGGCGUGCCUAAUACAUGCAAGUCGAACGAACCGCGACUAGGUGCUUGCACUUGGUCAAGGUGAGUGGCGAACGGGUGAGUAACACGUGGGUAACCUACCUCAUAGUGGGGGAUAACAGUCGGAAACGACUGCUAAUACCGCAUAGGACAUAGGAUCACAUGAUCCAGUGAGGAAAGGUGGCGCAAGCUAUCGCUAAGAGAUGGACCCGCGGUGCAUUAGCUAGUUGGUAGGGUAAAGGCCUACCAAGGCGAUGAUGCAUAGCCGACCUGAGAGGGGGAUCGGCCACAUUGGGACUGAGACACGGCCCAAACGCCUACGGGAGGCAGCAGUAGGGAAUCUUCCGCAAUGGACGCAAGUCGGACGGAGCAACGCCGCGGGGGUGAAGAAGGUCUUCGGAUCGUAAAGCUCUGUUGUUAGAGAAGAACAGCGCAUAGAGUAACUGUUAUGCGUGUGACGGUAUCUAACCAGAAAGCCACGGCUAACUACGUG
rnacentral:rRNA from 1 species